rnacentral:rRNA from 1 species
UGGGGGAUAUUGCACAAUGGGGGAAACCCUGAUGCAGCGACGCCGCGUGGAGGAAGAAGGUUUUCGGAUUGUAAACUCCUGUCGUUAGGGACGAUAAUGACGGUACCUAACAAGAAAGCACCGGCUAACUACGUGCCAGCAGCCGCGGUAAAACGUAGGGUGCAAGCGUUGUCCGGAAUUACUGGGUGUAAAGGGAGCGCAGGCGGGAAGACAAGUUGGAAGUGAAAACCAUGGGCUCAACCCAUGAAUUGCUUUCAAAACUGUUUUUCUUGAGUAGUGCAGAGGUAGAUGGAAUUCCCGGUGUAGCGGUGGAAUGCGUAGAUAUCGGGAGGAACACCAGUGGCGAAGGCGGUCUACUGGGCACCAACUGACGCUGAGGCUCGAAAGCAUGGGUAGCAAACAGGAUUAGAUACCCUGGUAGUCCAUGCCGUAAACGAUGAUUACUAGGUGUUGGGGGAUUGACCCCCUCAGUGCCGCAGUUAACACAAUAAGUAAUCCACCUGGGGAGUACGACCGCAAGGUUGAAACUCAAAGGAAUUGACGGGGGCCCGCACAAGCAGUGGAGUAUGUGGUUUAAUUCGAAGCAACGCGAAGAACCUUACCAGGUCUUGACAUCCGAUGCAUAGCACAGAGAUGUGUGAAAUCCUUCGGGACAUCGAGACAGGUGGUGCAUGGUUGUCGUCAGCUCGUGUCGUGAGAUGUUGGGUUAAGUCCCGCAACGAGCGCAACCCUUAUUGCCAGUUACUACGUUAGGAGGACUCUGGCGAGACUGCCGUUGACAAAACGGAGGAAGGUGGGGAUGACGUCAAAUCAUCAUGCCCUUUAUGACCUGGGCUACACACGUACUACAAUGGCGUUAAACAAAGAGAAGCAAGACCGCGAGGUGGAGCAAAACUCAAAAACAACGUCUCAGUUCAGAUUGCAGGCUGCAACUCGCCUGCAUGAAGUCGGAAUUGCUAGUAAUCGCGGAUCAGCAUGCCGCGGUGAAUACGUUCCC